GGGCGCUUACCGUUUUGACGGUUGGUAGUUGGCUAUUGUCCGCGCCCAACGCCACCUACGUCGAGUACAGAGAUGCGUUGGAGAUAUAGAGGUCAGCACCUGCUAGGGUUUGUGAUGGAUGACGAGAAUAGAUAGGCGUAGUCGCGUAUUUUUAGUGAGAAUAUCUAUGUGAUGAUUUAAAUUGUCUUUGCUGUAGAAUGUUCGGUGCAUUUGUCUUUAUUUAUCGCGAAAGGUUUAUUCGAGAAAAGGUUUCUGUCCGAAAAUGUUGUCGGUUAUUCUGCUGGCCCUGUGUAGUAAUAGAGCUGAAGGAGAAUGGUUAUCGAUGUAAACAAAGGGAAUAUUUUCAUGUUUCUGCACAAAGUAGCCUUGAGAUGUAUUUUGGGUAUUUGCGACACUUCUCUUUUUCCCGAGUGCUAAUUUGGGAAAGACCGAUUCGCGCUUCGUAGAUAUUUGUGGUAAUAUUGUGUCGGAGGUGUUAUCGGUUUCUGUCUGGCUCUCGGUGUCACUUUGGAUUUUGGAUUGGUUUGGUGUAUUGGCGCGGCGUGCUCUGUGUAUCACACGUACUGGCCGCCCGCCUUUGGGUGGUUCGACUUGGUUGGAGAGAACUGUGACUCGCCGACUUGGCCCGCUGGGCUGGUGGCCCGCCUUGGAUCGGCGACUUGGUUUGGAGCGUUGGUGUUCGCCUGAUGUUCGUCGGAGACCCCAUUCUGAUGGUACGGGUUUAUGUCUAUGGUAGUAUAUAAAUCUAGCCAAUAGCUUGGUAUAUGUUGCUUGGUCUAUGGAUUCGUACGUGUCAUUGUGUGCAGUUAAAGAAUAUUGGAAAAAUUUGGUACUCGUAUCUUGGUAUUGGAUACUUGCACAUGGAUAGUUGGGUGAUCAGAAUGAGAGAUUGAUCAGUGGCGAUGGCUGGUGCUUGGCUUGGUGUGAGCUUGGUUUGACAAUUUUUCUUUCUUUCUUUCAUCUACGUGUUUUUGCUUCCGCAGAAACCUCAGCCAAAUACAGCGAGUGUUGAUCA